CAUAAAGUUAGCGAAAAUACUACAAAUUAAGAAAAUGAAGCUCAAGUAGAAAAUAACCGACGGAAUUAUGAAAAUCAAAUAAAAGGACCGUGGUUAUUUGAUUUAUCUUGACAACAAAACUGAAAGUCUAUUUUUCACUGCAGUAAAAAGAUCGGCAAACACUUAUCAAUUAGUUAUAGAAAGAGAGGUAAAUAUUGUUAAGACUUACAGUAAUCGUAAAAUUCAAAACUGUGAAUUAUACCUAGUGUGCAAAUUUCAGAGAUACAAAUACUGAAGCUCAUACCCACACAAUAAAGUCAUUGUGGAAGUUAGUCAAGACCGAAGUUGUACAAUAGGUACUAUAAUAUAAAAGUUAAUGAUACCUUUCCGCUAUUAGACCGCCAAUUAAUUACUUAAUUGAAGAAUGGUAGCAAUCAUAUAGCCAAUAAACUUAAAUAUUUUUUGGUUUUUAUAUUAGAUCUAAAGAGUAAUUUUUCUGUAUAAAUCUCAC